AUCGCACAAAAUAUAUGGUGUCCCAUUUAUUUUUGUUGUGUGAGUUCCUUCAUAGAAAAGGACUCUUCCUUUUCUUUUAUGCCCAUAUAUCCCAAGGCACCAUCUGAUGGUGCAUGAAAUAAAGGAAUGCAUGGAGAUAAGAAGGAAAUUAAGAGGAGUGGAUGAGAAGGACUCCUCCAUCUUAACGCCUAAAAUAAAUAUGGC
rnacentral:lncRNA from 1 species